rnacentral:rRNA from 1 species
AUUGAACGCUGGCGGCAGGCCUAACACAUGCAAGUCGAACGAGUGGCGGACGGGUGAGUAAUGUCUGGGAAAGUGCCUUAUGGAGGGGGAUAACUAUUGGAAAAGGUAGCUAAUACCGCAUACCAUCAGAUGGGCCCAGAUGGGAUUAGCUUGUUGGGGGGGUAACGGCUCACCUAGGCGACGAUCCCUAGCUGGUCUGAGAGGAUGACCAGCCACACUGGGACUGAGCCACGGUCCAGACUCCUACGGGAGGCAGCAGUGGGGAAUAUUGCACAAUGGGCGCAAGCCUGAUGCAGCCAUGCCGCGUGUAUGAAGAAGGCCUUCGGGUUGUAAAGUACUUUUAGCGGGGAGGCGUUACCCGAAGAAGAAGCACCGGCUAACUCCGUGCCAGCAGCCGCGGUAAUAC